AGACGUCUACAUUAGAUACCCGCGUAGUCCCAGCCGUAAACUAUGCGCGUUAGGUGUAUCGGUGACCACGAGUUACCGAGGUGCCGAAGGGAACCGUGAAACGUGCCGCCUGGGAAGUACGGUCGCAAGGCUGAAACUUAAAGGAAUUGGCGGGGAGCACCACAACAGGUGGAGCCUGCGGUUUAAUUGGACUCAACGCCGGGAAGCUCACCGGAUAGGACAGCAGAAUGAUUGCCGGGCUGAAGACUCUGCAUGACUAGCUG
rnacentral:rRNA from 1 species